rnacentral:rRNA from 1 species
AUGGUCGCCCGCUUCCCAGUCUCCCUCCGCUGGUUUGGCGGCCUACUGCGGGCUAGCAGCAGCCGCCGCCGCCGCGGCGUAUCCGCGAUGGCCGGAGGAGGCGAAGAGGCGCAGCUCGGGGGGUUCCUCGAGUACAUGGACAUGCUCCGCAACUACGAGCGUUCCGGCGUGCCGCGCGGCGCCGGGACCGACUCCGACGACGGCUUCGACCUCGGCCGCAUGCGCCGCCUCCUCCGCCGCCUCGGCGACCCCCACACCCACUACCCGUCUGUCCAUAUCGCCGGCACCAAGGGGAAAGGUUCGACUGCCGCGUUCCUGUCUAAUAUCAUGAGGGAGCAAGGAUACAAUGUGGGCUGUUAUUCCAGUCCACACCUUCUAACAAUCCGAGAGCGCAUUUCUGUUGGACAACAUGGAGGCCCUGUUUCAGCUGCGUCGUUGAGGGAUCUUUCCGAUCUGGCCAAGGAAGCUAUCGAUGAAUCAAUCGAGUCAGAAAAUGGAUCCCUGACACACUUUGAGGUUUUUACUGCUCUUUCAUUUCUCCUAUUCUCACGAGAAAAUGUUGAUGUUGCCAUUGUUGAAGCAGGCCUUGGGGGAGCUAGAGAUGCCACAAAUGUCAUACGAAAUAGUGAACUAGCUGCAGCGGUCAUAUCAACAGUUGGGAAAGAACAUUUGGCUGCUUUGGGUGGUUCCCUCCAAAGCAUAGCAGUGGCAAAGUCUGGAAUUAUCAAGGAAGGACGACCAGUUGUCAUUGGUGGUCCAUUUUCAAAAGACAUCGAGCAAAUAAUUCGGGAUAGAGCGUUCUUGACACAAUCUCCUGUCAUAUCUGCUUGUGAUACUGGUGUCAGGAGCAUCACAAGAUGCAUUGGACGAGACUAUGCAAAACCUUAUCAAAGCUGUGACAUUGUCGUGAAGAUUUCAGGCAAUAUGCCAUUGUCUGUGGAAUUGCAUGAUGUAAAACUCCAGCUGCUGGGAGGCCAUCAGCGUCAGAAUGCUGUCACGGCUUCUUCCCAUACCGAGGCGUCUGCAAAGGCACUGUCAGACGUGAUAAAAACCGUCGAACCCGAAGGGCCUGUGGCCGUCAUCGUUGGAAUGGGCAGCGACAAAGAGCACCUCGCAUUCGCUGCACAACUUCUCUCAGGCAGAAGGCCCGACGUGGUGCUGCUGACGGAGACGGGGAUCGCGGGAGGGACUGCUCGCUCCAUGCCGGCUUCAUCACUGAGAGACAUCUGGACAGGCGCCGCGCUUGGCCAGGGCAUCGAGUGUGUGGAUAUCGGGGCCAUCGCUGGCAACAAAGCCCCAAACGUAAAUAUCGACCACCUGGCACCCGCCGCUGGCACAGACAAGCCCGCGCCCAUGUUGAUCGGGUGCGGAGCCGCGCCGUUCUCGCGCGACCUGAUGAAGGCCGCCUCCCGGCUGCUGCGCCGGGCAGUCGGAGGCGGCGCUGCUCGGGGUGGCCUCAUCUGCGUCACUGGCUCCAUGCAUAUGGUCGCGUCGGUGCUGCAGCAGCUUGAGCAGUAG